AUUGAACGCUAACGGCAUGCCUUACACAUGCAAGUCGAACGGCAGCACGGGAGCAAUCCUGGUGGCGAGUGGCGAACGGGUGAGUAAAGUAUCGGAACGUGCCCAGUCGUGGGGGAUAACGUAGCGAAAGUUACGCUAAUACCGCAUACGAUCUACGGAUGAAAACGGGAAAUCGCAAGACCUCGCGCGAUUGGAACAACUGAUAUCAGAUUAAAUAAUUAGUGGGGUAAAGACUCACCAAGCCGACGAUCUGUAGCUGGUCUGAGAGGACGACCAGCCACACUGGGACUGAGACACGGCCCAGACUCCUACGGGAGGAAGCAGUGGGGAAUUUUGGACAAUGGGCGCAAACCUGAUCCAACCAUGCCGCGUGCAGGAUGAAGGCCUUCGGGUUGUAAACUGCUUUUGUACGGAACGAAAAGGUUUGGCCUAAUAAGCUGGACCCAUGACGGUACCGUAAGAAUAAGCACCGGCUAACUACGGGCCAGCAGCCGCGGUAA
rnacentral:rRNA from 1 species